ensembl:snRNA U4 U4 spliceosomal RNA
AGCUUUGCCCAGUGGCAGUAUCCUAGCCAAUGAGGUUUAUCCGAGGCAUGAUUAUUAAAAUAAUUGAAAAUUUUCCCAAUACACCAAAGUGACAACUUACAACAUAGGUUGGCAAUGGCAAUUUUUGACAUGUCUACAGAGAC